UCUUCAACACACACACAUCUCUCUUUUUUCUCUCUCUAGAAAACUCUCUCUACCUUAUCUCUAAUUUCUUUUCUCCAAACACCACAACCACAGCCUCUUAACCACGAAAUUAAGGAGAUUCAUAAGGUUUUUUCAAGCCACAAAUAAAUUUAAGGAAUCGAUGGUGAUACGAGUGGAGCAUAGUCAAGGCACCAUUUGCAUCAUCUCAAUGCAUAUUGAAUCAUCGAAUAUGUGGCACUUAGGGACACUUCAAUUUUAGGAGCAUUCGCAUGUGUCGUAUUUCAAUUUACAUUGUAAUUUCAUUUAAAAGUUGUUUAAACCCAUUGUCAAAUGGUAAUGAUUUUAAUACUAUGGUUAGUGUUGUCUUUUAACUUUUGCUAUGAAACCCUUUGUACUGCCACGCCCUGUGUUUCCGCUUUAGCGGGGUGUGACACAAAUCAAGGAGGCACAGGUGGAGGGCCUCAAGGAGGAGAGGCAGAAGUGUGAGAGGAUCAUGGACCGGGUAGCUUCUUUUGACUAUGAUACUAGAGGAUUGUUAACCCUUCAUCGGAGAGUUUGGGUGUCGUACUGAGGCGGAGUACGGCAAGUGUUGAUGGAUGAGGCUCAUAAGUCUCAGUUUUCCAUCCAUCUAGGGGCAACGAAGUUGUAUAGAGAUCUUCAACCUGACUACUGGUGGGCCUGCAUGAAGCGUGAUGUCGCCUGGUACGUAGAAAGAUGCCUGACCUGCAGGAAGGUCAAGGCAGAGCACCAGAGGCCUCACGGCAAGAUGCAGCCGCUAGACAUUCCAGUGUGGAAAUAGGAGGAUAUCACCAUGGAUUUCGUCACUAAGCUUCCCAGUACCAUGCUUGGGGUGGAUUCCAUAUGGGUUAUAGUCGAUCGAUUGACGAAGACUGCUCAUUUCAUACCGAUCCAGGAGAGUAUAUCGGCCGAGAAGCUAGCCGAUAUUUACGUGAGAGAGGUGGUGGCACGGAAUGGAGUGCCUAUUUCAGUGGUGUCAGACCGUGAUGUCCGUUUUACCUCCAGAUUCUGGAAGCGGUUUCAUGACGAGAUGGGUACGUCUCCAUUUCAGCACCGCUUUCCAUCCUCUAACGGACGGGUAGAGCGAGAGAACGAUUCAGACUCUCAAAGACAUGCUGCAGGCAUGUGUUCUAGACUUCGGUGGCAGUUGGGAUAAGUAUCUUCCAUUAGGAGAAUUUUCGUAUAACAACAGUUACCAUGCGAGUAUUGAUCGACCUCCCUUCGAAAUGCUCUAUGGGAGGAGAUGCAGGACGCCGAUUUGUUGGGGCGAGGUCGGUCAGCGAGUCAUUGGGAGCACCGAAGUGGUGCGCAAGACGACAUAGUUGAUUCAGCAGGUUCGUAGUAGACUACAGACUGCGCAUAGUCGGCAGAAGAGUUACGCUGAUAGGAGGCGUUCAGACUUGGAGUUUCAGGUGGGCGAUAUGGUCCUCCUGAAGGUGUCACCCUGGAAGGGUGUUAUUAGAUUUCGGAAGAGGGGCAAGCUGGGCCCUAGAUUCAUUGGUCUUUUUAGGGUUUUGGCCUGGGUGGGUCGGGUUGCUUAUCGGUUAGAUCUUCAGGCAGAGCUCAGCCAGAUCCACAACACUUUCCACGUUUCUCAGUUGAGGAAGUGCUUGGUGGAUGAGACAGCAGUGGUGCCUUUGGAAGAUAUUCAGGUUGAUGGCAGCCUGAAUUACAUCGAGAGACCGGUUGCGAUUUUGGACCGGAAAACAAAGACCUUAAGAAACAAGGUGGUUCAGUUGGUGAAGGUGCAGUGGCAGCACCGGAAGGGGUCUGAGUGGACGUUGGAGGCAGAGGAAGAGAUGAGGGAGCACUAUCCAGAGUUGUUCCAAGAUUUAGCAGUAGUAGACUUCGAGGACGAAGUCUGAGACAAGUGGGGGAGAGUUGUAACGCCCCAUUCCCGGUAUGUAUUUAAAUAAGUGUUUCCAUUUUUGAGGAGAACUCGGCGAGUCCGUUGCCCAACUCGCCGAGUAGAGAUGGGAUGAACACGCGUAUUUAGCCGGCUACUCGGCGAGUCAAUACGCUGGACUCGGUGAGUUUGCCUGUCAGGAGGAAACCCUAAUUUCAGGGUUUUGGACCUAUUUAAACUUCCUUAUGUGCCUAACUCGUCCCUUUUCACCCCAAAGCAUCUGAUAGCAAAACCCUAGCCAUUCUUAGUGUGUGUGUGUGUGUGUUCAUUGCUUGUAAAGGCACCUUUGGAGUAAGAAGGAGAAGGUGGAAGUUGGAGAGCCCGAGAAAGAGGAAGUAGAUCCGGAUUGUACACUCUAUUGGUCAUCUUUUCUGGUAUUCAAUUCUAUACCUUGGCUUUUGAGCAUAUAGAUCUAUGUUGUCCCUAAUUUGUGGGUUCUAAGCUCUAAAACCCCAAAUUCUCUAUGAUUAGGCCUUAAGGCCGGUUAUACUGUAGAUCUGGACACUCAUGGCAUGCUAGAAGUAUAAAGUGUUGGUUGUGAUUGUGGUUGAAGUCGCUAUUGAGCCUAGGACCCCAUUAAGAGCUUAUUUUGGUCAUAUGAAGCUUUUAAAGGCAUGCAUGCACAUAAAGUUAGCAACUUUAUGUGAAAAGCAUGCCCUAGAAGUUCAGAUCCAUGAUUGGAAUCAGCUGCAUGGCUCAGAUCGGAUUUGUAUGGAAGAAGGACUGAAAGAACUCGGCGAGUCCCCAGGCCGACUCGGCGAGUUGCAUGAAGAUAGUCGUUGGCUCGGCGAGUUGGAAGAACAACUCGGCGAGUUGGAUGAGUGGUCCCAAAUAAAGUGUGUCAAAGAUCAAUGGCUUCAUUCCUUCGUAGUUACACGUAAAGUUAGCAACUUUACAUGUUCAGAUGAGUCCAAGAAUUCAGAUCUGCGAUUUGGGAACCAUAGAGCGGAUUCUAAAGCAGUAUAUGGAGUCUGCACGUUAGAACUCGACGAGUAGUUCGUCAGACUCGGCGAGUAGUUCGUCAAACUCGGUGAGUACUUCUUUGGACUCGGCGAGUCGAGUCGCGAGUCCUCGUCUUUCUUUGAUUCGAGUGUUCGGAGUAAAUCAGUGAGUGAAAGAGGCACUCGGUGAGUAGAAAUUAGAGUCAGUAAAGGAAGGAAUCAGCGAGUCUGCGCCCUGACUCGAUGAGUCCGGUCAACGGGAAGUUGACUUUGACCAGUAAUUAAUUGAGUGUAAUUUUGGAAAUUGUAGCCGGGGAGACAACGGAGCGGCAGCAGACAGUUUCUAGAGCCGUUCGUUUAGCAGCCAGUACACGAGGUGAGUUUCCUUCCAAUAGGAACGGGUCUACGGCCAUAAUGUCGGCCCGAUUAGUUAGCAGUAGUUCCGGGCUUCGGUCCGAUGUAGCAGUUAGUGUGUUUGAUGCUUUCGUGGCUCAGACAGGUUUUAUGCGUUAUGUGUUCUGGGCUACGGCCUGAUGCAGUAUGCAAUAUAUGUGUUUAUGAUGGUUGGUAUGUUUAUAUGCUAGUUGAUAUGUGUUUAUGCUAUGCUAUGCUCAGUUAGUUCCAGACUUUGGUUCGAUGCAGUUAGUUUCGUACUUCAGUCCGAUGCAGUCAGUUUCAGACUUCGGUCCGAUGCAGCCAGUUCCGGACUUCGGUCCGAUGCCGGGAACGAGGUCCCAGUCGGUUCCGGACUUCGGUCCGAUGCAACUUCCGGACUUCGGUCCGAUGCAGUGGGCGAGGCCCAGUAUGUGAUUUCUAUGUAUUGUAUGGUACUUCUGCAAUAAAAGGGAAGAGCUCAGGUUGAUAGCAUCGCACACACCACAGCUUCAGCAGUUUUUCCUGGGAGUAUGAUAGGACAUUUUCACAUGUUUGAUAUAGUUUGAUAUGACGCAUUACAUUAUGUUUUGAGAGUUAUGAAAUACGUUUAUUAGUAUGAUCUUCAGUAUCAUGAUUUUAAUAUUAUAAAACAAAAAUUUU